CCAAUAGCGUAUAUUAAAGUUGUUGCAGUUAAAAAGCUCGUAGUUGAAUUUCGGGAUCAAUAUGUCGGUCGUGCCUCGGUACGUACUGGCGUAAUUGGUUUCUCCCUUCUGAAGAACCUCGAUGUCAUUAAUUUGGUGUCUUGGGGAAUCAGGACUGUUACUUUGAAAAAAUUAGAGUGUUUAAAGCAGGCUCGCGCUUGAAUACAUUAGCAUGGAAUAAUGAAAUAGGACGUUUGAUUCUAUUUUGUUGGUUUCUAGGAUCGACGUAAUGAUUAAUAGGGAUAGUUGGGGGAAUUAGUAUUCAAUUGUCAGAGGUGAAAUUCUUGGAUUUAUUGAAGACUAACUACUGCGAAAGCAUUUGCCAAGGAUGUUUUCAUUAAUCAAGAACGAAAGUUAGGGGAUCGAAGACGAUCAGAUACCGUCGUAGUCUUAACCAUAAACUAUGCCGACUAGGGAGCGGAUGAUGUUGAUUUUUUAAUGACUCAUUCGGCGCCUUACG
rnacentral:rRNA from 1 species